GAAGAACUUAGGUAAGCAGAGAAGACAGAACUGAAUGCUGGGAAUAAGGGCAGAGUGAGAGAAGCCAUGGAACUUCUGCCUGAGAUGAGCGCCAGUUAGAAUCUCCGAAUGUUUUGUGACCAGAGCCUAGCAGAAUCGUCAUCAAAGAGACCAGAGAGACUUCAUCCAGCAAAAGAUGGGAGAAGAUGCAGAGUCUCACAGCCAAACAUUAGGUGGAGCCCCAA